rnacentral:rRNA from 1 species
UACAGAGGGUGCGAGCGUUAAUCGGAAUUACUGGGCGUAAAGCGCGCGUAGGCGGCUUUGUAAGUCGGGUGUGAAAUCCCCAAGCUUAACUUGGGAACUGCAUUCGAGACUGCAUUGCUAGAGUAUGGGAGAGGGAAGUGGAAUUUCCGGUGUAGCGGUGAAAUGCGUAGAUAUCGGAAGGAACAUCAGUGGCGAAAGCGACUUCCUGGACCAAUACUGACGCUCAUGUGCGAAAGCGUGGGGAGCAAACAGG